rnacentral:ncRNA from 2 species
AGUGAAUAGUUAGGAAUAAGUGAUUUUUCCCUGAGGGGAAGAAUUGAAAAGGGAAGUCAGUUGAAGCUGACGCGGUGCCCGCCACUGUAAGAGGGAGUCAACUUACAUAUUGUCACUGGGGAAACUAUCUCCCGGGAAGACGUGAGUUGAUGAUGAACUUUAGCCAGGAGACCUGCUUAUUUCCAAGUCUGAGC